rnacentral:tRNA from 1 species
GCACUGGUGGUUCAGUGGUAGAAUUGUCGCCUGCCACGCGGGACCCCCCGGGUUCGAUUCCCGGCCAGUGCA